rnacentral:misc_RNA from 1 species
AACGCACCUUGCACCCCUUGGUAUCCCAAAGGGUACACCCGUUUGAGUGUCAUUGUAACCUCACCUCUUUGGCUUUUUGUCAAUCAGUGUGGACUUGGAUGCUGUCGUGUAACAAACGGCUCGUCUGAAAUGCCUGAGUGUACCCUGCUUUGCAGCGUAUUCGGUGUGAUAAACAUCUUCACCGGAGUUGACUUUCGGGUCGCGCCUGUACUGAUUGGCUCCAUGCUUCUAACCGCCCUGACAAGGCAAUCUUUGACAAUUUGACCUCAAAUCGGGUGGGACUACCCGCUGAACUUAA